AUACUUACCUGGUGCUGGGCGGCCCCUGAUCAGGGAGGGGGGCGCCCCGGGCGGAGGCCUUCCAUUGCACUUCGGUUGCUGAAACUGCCACUUUCCCAACUGGGAUAGCUGGGGCAUGCAAUUU
rnacentral:snRNA from 1 species